rnacentral:rRNA from 1 species
UUGGAGGGCAAGUCUGGUGCCAGCAGCCGCGGUAAUUCCAGCUCCAAUAGCGUAUAUUAAAGUUGUUGCAGUUAAAAAGCUCGUAGUUGAAUUUCGGGAUUCAUCCGUUGGUCGGGCUUCACGGUCCGUACUGGUGUGAUGGGUUCCUACCUUCUGAAUAACCGGCAUGCCAUUAAUUUGGUGCGCCGGGGAAGCAGAACUAUUACCUUGAAAAAAUUAGAGUGCGUAAAGCAGGCAAGUGCCUGAAUAGGUUAGCAUGGAAUAAUAAAAUAGGACGGCAUGGUUCUAUUUUGUUGGUUUCUAGGAUCACCGUAAUGAUUAAUAGGGAUAGUUGGGGGCAUUAGUAUUCAAUUGUCAGAGGUGAAAUUCUUGGAUUUAUUGAAGACUAACUUCUGCGAAAGCAUUUGCCAAGGAUGUUUUCAUUAAUCAAGAACGAAAGUUAGGGGAUCGAAGACGAUCAGAUACCGUCGUAGUCUUAACCAUAAACUAUGCCGACUAGGGAUCGGACGAUGUUAAUUUUUUAAUGACUCGUUCGGCGCCUUACGGGAAAC